AUGAGUCCGGGGAUGGCGGAGAUGUUCCGGCAACUAGGCUUUGACCCAGAUCAGGUGGAGGGCUUCCUCGCCCGCUUCCUCUCCUACACCCACUACGCCCUUCCGGAGCCGCCCGUGAUGACCGACGCUCGUCUCUUCGCCCUCCUCCCCGACGACCCCGUCGACCGCGUCAGUCGCCUCCCUGUCGCGCUCCUCGGCAACGUCGUCUCCCGACUCCCCAUCAAGGACGCCGCGCGCACCGCCGCGCUCUCCCGGCGCUGGCGCGGGGACUGGCGCUCCGCCCCGCUCGUCCUCGUCGACUCCCACGUCCACCCCGCGGGCACCGCGUACGCACAGCGCGUCGCCUACGUCGUCUCCCGCGUCCUCACCGCGCACCCGGGCCCCUUCCGCUGCGUCCACCUCGCCGAGUCCCCCAUGCUCACGGCCUGGCUCCAGAUCGUCGCCGGCAAGGGCAUCCAGGAGCUCGUCCUCGUCAACCUCCUGUGGCCGCUCGAGAUCUUUCUCCCCUCCGCCUUGUUCUUAGGCAUGGAAACCCUCACCCGCCUCUACCUCGGCCUCUGGAUUUUCUGUUCACGAAAAACUGACCGUGUAUAG
rnacentral:rRNA from 1 species